AUGGAUUAUGCAAGUUCAGAGACAACAGUUAUGCCGCUAGAUUUAUUACGAGAAAUUACUAAUGAUUUCUCCGAGGAGCGUAGGAUUGGUAGCGGUUCCUAUGGAAAGGUUUACCUGGGAGUGCAUCAACAUGGCAAAAGGAUUGCUGUGAAGAUACUCUAUGACAUGCCAGGAAUUGAUGAUGAGCAGUUUCAGAAUGAGUUUAACAAUCUUACAAGGCUCAGACACCAAAAUAUUGUGCGAUUAGUUGGCUAUUGCCACAAUAUUCAGGAAAUACAAGUAGAAUACAAAGGUAAAUUGGUUCUUGCUGAAAAGACACAUAGAGCGCUCUGCUUGGAGUAUAUGUCUAAUGGAAGCCUUGACAAGUAUCUUUCUGAUGAGUGUGAUAGAUAUGAUUGGCAGACAGGCUAUGGAAUAAUUAAGGGGAUUUGCCAGGGUUUGAAAUACCUCCACAAUGAAUUAAAACCUCCUAUUUAUCAUUUGGAUUUAAAACCAGCCAAUGUAUUACUGGAUGAGAACAUGGUUCCCAGAAUCGCAGAUUUUGGGAUGUCAAGGCUCUUCAGAGAUGAAAAAACACGAGCUACAAAUAGUUCUUUAGGAACAAUUGGGUAUUUACCGCCGGAAUACAUUUGCAAUAAUUUAAUCUCAAAUAAGUUCGACAUAUUCAGCUUGGGUGUUGUAAUCAUAAAGAUAAUGGCAGGACGUGCGGGCUACUUCAAUAGCGCUAACAUGUCUUCCCAGGAAUUCAGUAAUGUUGUGCAGUUAAUCUGGACAAAUAGGCUACUUGAAACAUCAAACCUGAGGAAGGCAUAUUCCGAACAAGUAAAGAUAUGCAUCGAAAUAGGUUUAAGUUGUGUGCAGGAGGACCGACACAAAAGGCCAACUAUACAGGAUAUUGUUGAUAAACUGAAUGCCACGGAAACAGAGUGUACUUAUGCAUCAAGAAAUGACCUGUCGUUGAUGUGCCAGAUUAUAAAGGACGAUGAUCUCGAAGAGCUCCGAGAACUCAGUUCUAUUGAUUAUAGAAUUGUAUAUCACGGUAAAUGGAGAGGCUCUGAUGUUGCAAUAAAAAGAACCAAUCGGCGAUGUUCUUCCGACAGACUCCGGAAUGAGUUUUGGAACGAAGUAUCUAACCAUGCAGGUCUACACCAUCCCAAUGUUGUGGCCUUUUAUGGUAUUGUUCUAGAUGGACAUGGGGGAUCCAUUGCCACAGUUACAGAAUACAUGGUUAAUGGCUCACUUAGGACGGCUUUGUGGAAGAAUUCCAAGAGCCUUGGCCGACACAAGAGAUUAAUUAUAGCCAUGGAUGCAGCUUUUGGAAUGGAGUACUUGCAUCACAAAAACAUAGUGCACUUUGACCUCAAAAGUGACAAUUUACAUGUUAAUUUAACGGAUCCACGACGCCCAAUAUGCAAGGAAAUCGUUGGAUAUGUCUGUACAUCCUUUUAUCUCAAGUCGAUGCCAUGGAUCGCGUUCCAGAAAAUUGGUGGCUAG
rnacentral:rRNA from 1 species